AGAUUUCGAUUUCGACCUUCCGGAGCAUCAACGGCUCGGGAGGAAACUGAGGCCCCGGGCGGAUCAGAGGAGCCCAGCCCAAGGUCAUCCGGGAAGUCGGGGCAGGCCGGGCCCCGGGGAUCUCCCAGCCCGACCCGGCGCGCGCUGCCGCUCACCUCAGCAGCGCCAGGAAGGCGGCGGGCUCCACGUCCGGCAGCUCGAUCUCGGCCGACGUGGUGGCCAUGCCGCCGUUGAACAUGGCGUCAAAGACGGCGCUGCCGGCCGCCAGCACGAAGCGGUGGGCGGGGAUGCGCUGCGGGCCCCCCGCGGCGGCGGCGCCGCGACCCUUGCCCAGUACGAAGCGCACAUCGCUCAGCAGCUCGGAGUUGAAGAGGAAGGCAAAGCGCUCCUUCAGCGACGCCUUGGUCGCCUGCCAGUUGUAGAGAGGUUCCCGCUGCAGGGGGAGCAGGGGCCCCAGAGAGGACGGUGAGGGCGGCGACGGCGGCGCCGCGGGGCCCGGCUCCGCCUCAGCCCCCGAGGCCUGCUCCCCAGCUGCGGCAGGCCCGAGCGAGGCCAUCCUCCAGCUGCGCAGUUGCCCAGGCUAUGGACAAAACUCCGCCGCCAUCGCCGAGGCCGCCUCCGGAGGCCGACGCCGCCUCCCUGCCUUCCGGGAAAGGCGCUUCCGGGGGCCUCGCGCCUCCGCAGGCCCCUCCCUGACCGCGCUCGUCCCCGCACGCCAGGGUUGCCGCUGUGCGCGGCCGCGGGAAGUGUAACAGGACUGGACUCCCGGCGGCCCGAGGGCAGGGGCGUGGGGAGCUGGUCCUAGCCCAGCGCUCCCGGAGGUGGAGCUUCUACAGGCUGGGUGCUACCAGGCCUACGGGCACCCACCCCCUGGCUCAGUGCCCUGGGUAUUGACUCAGUAGGUCUGGGGUAGGGCCUGAGAAUUUGGGAUUUUAAGAUGCAUCGUGGAUCUGCAGGCGGCUCUCACGCCUGCCUCUUUCUUUCUGCAGGCCCCUCAUCACCAAGUCCAGCGCCCGCAUUGUGUAUCUAGGACAUGUCCCAAGGCCUGUCCCGAGGAGUGUUUCGUCUGGAAGUGGAGGGGCAGGAAAGUAUAGCCAAGGGAACACGUGGGGAGGGGACAUGACUUCCCACAGCCCCGUGCCCCAAGCGUGGCGAAGUCACAGCUCCAGAUGGCCGCGAAACCCGUGGAAAUUCCGGAAGCAGAGGUGGAAGGCUUAGAACCCCAGUGACCUCUCCCCAGUGUGUCCAGAGUUCCUUCCUUCUGGUGGGUUCAUGGUCUUGCUGACUUCAAGAAUGGAGCCGCGGACCUUCCUGUUAAUAGAACCUGAUUUCAUUUGGGCCACAACAUGUACAAAGAAGGAAUACCUGUCUCCAGGCCUCACAGAAAAGUCAUGAUUGGUUGAAGCCUAGCCCGUUCCCCUGCUAGAGAUUGCUUCUGAACUCAGCAUGUGGCCAAUUAUGGCCAAUGAGAUGGAAGAGUCUGGAAGCAGGCUUUUGGAAAGAUUCUUGCAGCCUAGUUAAAGAUAAAAGCCCGGAGAGGAAAAAGCCUUGUGUUGACAAGCUUAAGAGUGAAAAACCAACAUGCUGAGAAGGAGGAUUAGGAAGACAUAAAGAGGCCGGGUUCUUAAUGACAUCCUUGAGCCACUGCAGCUAAAAAGGAAACUUCUUUCUCCAGGAUUCUUAUGUCAGAUUUUCAAAUGUCUUCAUGGCUUAAACCAGAUGUAUGCAUUCUGUUACCUGUAACUUCAUGUGUUCCCAAUGAAAACAGUACCUUGUAGAGUUGCUUGAGAAUCAAGACAGGCACUGAAAGUAAUGCAUCAAGCAUAUAACAAGUUUCUGUCUUAUAACCACUACCCAACAUCUUUUUCUCCUUUCUUCCCUGGUUUAUAAAACCUGAUUUUAUUUGGGCAGCCACAAGCACAAGGAAGGAGGACCUUGUCUCCAGGCCUCAGAGAAGAACCCAAAUAGCUCUCAGCAUCUCUCACUAUACCUUAGUCCUUUUACUUCCCUUUCCUUUUCCUUCUCCCAGCCAGCUGUCAUCCCUAAAUUCUUCUGUGGUCCAUGUUUCUCAACAUCCAUUUAAUCAUCAAACUCUUAGAUUUGAUUCCUGAUUAACCUUUCCUUUCUCCUUUCGUUGCAGCUGCCAUAGUCAAGACCCAUUCAUUUGUAGCUUAGAUUACUGCUCUUCUCAGCUCUUUGCUGCCUAGUUCACACUCCCUCACCUCAUUCUCUACAUAUCUACCAGACUAAGCUACUAAAAUGGCCAAGCCGAGCAUGUCACUCCUCUGCUUAAAAGUUUCACUAGGGGCCGGGCGCGGUGGCUCAAGCCUGUAAUCCCAGCACUUUGGGAGGCCGAGGCGGGCGGAUCACGAGGUCAGGAGAUCGAGACCAUCCUGGCUAACACGGUGAAACCCCGUCUCUACUAAAAAAAUACAAAAAAUUAGCCGGGCGUGUUGGCGGGCGCCUGUAGUCCCAGCUACUCGGGAGGCUGAGGCAAGAGAAUGGCGUGAACCCGGGAGGCGGAGCUUGCAGUGAGCCGAGAUCGCACCACUGCACUCCAGCCUGGGGCACAGAGCAAGACUCCGUCUCAAAAAAAAAAAAAAAAAAAAAAAAGUUUCACUAGGACAGGCGCAGUGGCUCACGCCUGUAAUCCCAGAACUUUGGGGGGACGAGGUGGGCAUAUCACUUGAGUUCAGGAGUUCAAGACCAGCCUGACCAACAGGGUGAAACCCCGCCUCUACUAAAAAUACAAAAAUUAGCCAGGGGUGGUGGCAGGCGCCUGUAGUCCCAGCUCCUCAGGAUGCUGAGACAGGAGAAUUGCUUGAACCCCAGAGGCGGAGGUUGUAGUGAGCUGAGAUCGCGCCACUGCACUCCAGCCUGGGCGACAGAGCGAGACUCUGUCCCAAACAAAAAAAAAAGUUUCACUAACCAACCAGACGCGGUGGCUCACACCUGUAAUCCCAGCACUUUGGGAGCCCAAGGCGGGCAGAUCACUUGAGGUCAGGAGUUUGAGACCAGCCUGGACAACAUGGAGAAACUCCAUCUCUACUAAAAAUACAAAAUUAGGCCGGGCGCAGUGGCUCACACCUGUAAUCCCAGCACUUUUGGAGACCGAGACGGGCAGCUCACGAGGUCAGGGGUUCAAGAUCAGCCUGGCCAGCAUGGUGUAACCCCGUUUCUACUAAAAAUACAAAAAUUAGCCAGGCAUGGUGGUGCAUGCCUGUAGUCCUCAGGAGGCUGAGGCAGGAGAAUCGCUUGAACCUGGGAGGCGGAGCUUGCAGUGAGCCGAGAUCAGGCUACUGCACUCCAGCUUGGGCAACAGAGUGAGACUCCGUCUCAAAAACAAACAAACAAAACACAACAAAAUUAGCUGGGCAUGGUGGCAGGUGCCUGUAAUCCCAGCUACUCAGCUACUCAGGAGGCUGAGGCAGGAGAGUCACUUGAACCUGGGAGGCAGAGGUUGCAGUGAGCCGAGAUCGCGCCAUUGCACUCCAGCCUGGGCAACAAGAGGGAAACUACAUCUCAAAAAAAAAAAAAAAAAAAAAAAGUUUCACUAACUCCUCCCUCGGCCAGGUGGCUGGGAGUUCCUAGAUUAUGCUGUGGGAUUAUAGCAUCUGGGCCAUUCUACCUGCUCUACCUUUCUUCUGAAAGGCACUCUCUGCCCUGGUCUUUCAGGGUUCACAGUCUCUAUCUAACUAGCCUGCCUCCCUGGCUGAAUUAAUCACUCUCUCCUGAUGAGGUUCAGGACAUGUUACCACAAAAGAUAGCAUCUUGGCAUUUGAGAAAAUAGCAGAAUCAGUAAGGUCACUCUCACCUCCCUCUUGCCCUUCUCCGGAGUGAAUCGUAAAACCCUCACUCCAGAAGUACCCUUCCUAUGUGCAGGGGAAAGGGGCAUUAGGAACAUCCUAAUCCUUGAAGAGAUGCCAAGAAGAAUCUGAACAGGACUUGCUGAGUUCCCCUCAGUUUCUUUCCAUUAGAUCACAUCCUCUUUGUCUAAUCAUACUUCCUCAUGACUAUCCACUGGCUGGAGCUGGUCCCGGACUGAUCAAGUACACACUUGAUCUCAGCCAAAGAGCAGAGAAGCGAUGGACCGACCAAGUAUAAGGAGGCUCCAAACAACGUGCAGACACCCAGCAGCUGGCCCUUUUGCUUUUUACACAUCAUUGCCCCAGAGAAACUCCUCAGCAUGUACACAAGGCAAGCAGUACAAGGAUGUUCACUACAACAUGGUUUAUAGUAGUGAAAAAUUUAAACCUAGCACAAAAAUGUGCAAGUUUCUUUGUUUCUUUUUUUUUUUUUAAGACAAUUUUUAUAAAGUCUUUCUUUCCUAAAUUAUCUGUUUCCUCCAAGGUCAAUUUUUCUGUUGGUCCAACUUGGAUCUUCUCUUCCAUGCUGUUGGUUUUCCUAAUAUAUUUGCAAUCUUUGGUUUUCUGUUUAUAUUGAUGAAUAAAGGACUAUGUUCAUUAGUAUGGUAGUUUCCAUGAGUGUCUUUGCAGAGAUGUGUAAGUCAUGUUAGGCCCCUUUCUUGGCUGACAGAAUCAUCUGAGGGUUCUUUGUAAGUAGGUGGGG